rnacentral:lncRNA from 10 species
AACCAGGGAUAUGAGUGAGAAAUGAAGGAAGGCUGUGGCGCCCCUCUCCACCCUCUCCCUUUCCCCACCGGCUGGAAGAUGCUCCUGUCCAAAUGGGAAAUUGAGGCCAAAAUAGCACAAUAAAGGAAAGGAAGCGCUCCAGGAGCAGAUGGGCUCCCACUCACCGUCCUGAGGAAUGUGCUGACUAUUCAGGAACAGGCCUUUGGCAGUCACUUAACACAAUCACGAAGCAAAGGGAAAUGAUCAAGUCUGUCACCAGGGACAAGAGCACCUGCUGCAGCCAUCUCCACAAUAAAGGGGAGAAUGCAACAGCUCCUCUGGGUGCCAACUGAGGACACUGCCGAUUCUGGGGCUGCAGUCUCAAGCUGCUGAGCCUACGUGAACAAAGUCAAGGCAACUGCGGCAUGGUGUGUGAGUCAGCUGCUUGGCUCUUCUGUGUGUGUGCAUGUGUGUGUGUGUGUGUGUGUGUGUGUGUGUGGUGAGGGAGGUGGAUUCUGGAUGAGUGAGAGACUAAAACAAAAUUGGAAACACGACCGCUAAAAGACUAACAUUUUCAGGCCAAGUCAGUUCAUCUUCCCUGCAAAAGAGCAUUUGAAACCCUAGCCAGUCCCGCUCCUGUCCGACUUACUAGACCCUGUGGACUGGCUUAUAGCAGGGAUUUUACAACUGAUAGAAGCUGGCAGUGUAGAGAAAAUAGCAAAAGGGCUCUGGAGCCAGAGAGAUGAACAUUGAAAUCUGGGCAAGGGACUCACCUCCUUGAACCUUGGUAAAAGAAUUCGGUAACUUAGGUUGAACUAUAUGAAAAUGCUAUUUUGUGGGUCAAAAAAGAUUGAAUAUUGACAAUUUCUUAUGGUUCAACCCAGUAGCGCCUUCCUCCCAGAGUUACUGUGCAGAUUAAAUGAGCUAAUAUACAAGAGUGUUUAUACCAGCAUGUGACACAUGAUAAAUGCCAAAUAAAGGAUAAUCAUGAUGAUGGUGAUGAUAAUGGGUAUUUAACACCUAAUUUUGGCCACAGAAUGAGCCCUGACCCUGGCCAUCUCAUAAAUACAAGUCCUGGAUAGGCUGAAAUACCUCAGGGACAUAAUCUUCGGGGUUAAAAUAUUUCCCUGACCAAAUAACACCCCCCAACCCAGGCUGUCCCAGCUCUUAAAAUUUUUUGCUUAUAGGUCACUCUGUGGUGAAACCACUCUUCAAUGAAGGCUCCCACUAAAGAGUCCCCAAAGGGGAAGAGAUUCAUUCACUGAUUCAUUCGUUCAUUGAACAGCUUGUAUCAAGAGCCUAUUAUGUUGCCAGGCACUGUGCUAGGUGCUGGAUUGAAGAAGGUAUGCUCCCUGCCCUGGAGGAAUUUGCAAUUAGAUAUGAGGGAAAGCCCCCAGACAGGUACCAACAGUCCACUUUUGACAAGUGUCAUAGCCAUAAAAAGUAUGUCCCAAGCUUUGUGGGGUCACUGAAGAGGGAUCAUCCUCUCUCUGAGGCAGGAGAAUACAUUCUGGAGGCAGGGAACCUAAGGCCGUUUCACGCUGAGUUCCUAGAACUAAAUUGAAAGGAGAACCCUAACUUUCCAUGCCUAAGUAACAAAAGGACCAGAGGCUACUCCCUUUGCAAGCUCCCAGCUUUUCUGCGUGGCCGAUGGGAAAUUGAAAGUACCUAUGAUUGGUUGUUAGACAUUUGCAUAGGAGUGUAACUUUGAAACUUCACUUCAGCCUCUGUAGGCUGUCCACAACCAAUCAGACUGAUUGCGGGUCAAGUCUUCGUUUGCAUAGAAGUGCAACAUUGUAACUUCACUUGAGCCUCUGAUUGGUUGCAGACAGCAACCAAUCAGAUCUUUGCAUAAAAGUGUGACCUUUGUAACUUCACUUCAGCCUCUGAUUGGUUGCAAUAAGACUGGUUGCAGACCACCACUUCAUUUACAUGGGGUGAACACCAAGUGGCCAAUGGGAAACCUCUAGUGGGUAUUUGGACCCGAGAAGUUUCUGUAUCUGGGCCCUUGAGUGGCUGCUCGGGCCCGUUCCCACGCUUUGGAGUGUACUGUCGUUUUCAAUAAAUCUCUGCUUUUGUUGUUUCAUUCUUUCCUGCUUUGUUUGUGUGUUUUGUCCAAUUCUUUGUUCAAAACACGGAGAACAUGGACACCCUCCACCGAUAACACCUCCAUCCAUCUUAACGCUGUUAGGUGGUCGGAGAUGGCUAUACAGAAAAAGUGACAUUUCAGAUGGAUUUUGAACGAUGUGUAGGAAUUCCUUGCAGGGAGAAGGUGUGAGUUCAAGCAGGGGAAACCUAAUAUGUAGAGGCACUGGUUUGCAAAGGGGUGUGAGCACUUUUAGGGACUGGUUCUAAGUUCAGCGUGUCUGGAGCACCCGUUAAGAAAAGGAGUAUCAGGAACUGAGGAUGAGGAGGCACGUCAGGGCUGGGCUGGAAAGUGCACCCUGGAUGUAAUUCUCUAGGCAACUGAGAACCAACAGAUGAAAAUUUCUCAGUGUCCAGACAGAAGACUUUCUGAUUUUGUCUGGAAUGGGGCCUGGGAAUCUGAGAUACACGGUCUUCUUUUUCCUUCCUUCCUUCCUUCCUUCCUUCCUUCCUUUCUUUCUUUCUUUUUCUUUUCUUUCUUUCUUUCUCUGUUUCUCUCUUUCUCUUUCUUCUUUCUCUUUCUUUCUCUGUUUCUCUCUUUCUCUCUUUC